ACAAUUAUAAGCCUAUUUUAAGAACUUAGGAUAAAAAGACCAAGAGCCUUCAAAGCCCUCAGCAGAAGUUAUAAGAGGUACUGCCUGCCCAGUGACACUCGUUCAACGGCCGCGGUAUUAUGACCGUGCAAAGGUAGCGUAAUCACUUGUCUUUUAAAUAAAGACCAGUAUGAAUGGCAAAACGAAAGCUCAACUGUCUCCCCUAGCCAGUCAGUGAAAUUGAUCUCCCCGUGAAGAAGCGGGAAUAUCUAUACAAGACGAGAAGACCCUAUGGAGCUUUAAACCUUAACUUCACUAACAUUUAAGACAAUUUUUAUAUAGGUUUUAGGUUGGGGCGACCGCGGGGUAAAGCAAAACCCCCGAGAUGAAUAACGAAGAAAAACCCUUCAAAGCAACAACAAUAUUGACNUAAUGACCCAAUAAUUGAUCAACGAACCAAGUUACCCUAGGGAUAACAGCGCAAUCCUCCCACAAAGUCCCUAUCGACGGGUGGGUUUACGACCUCGAUGUUGGAUCAGGACCCCCAAAUGGUGCAACCGCUAUUAAAGGUUCGUUUGUUCAACGAUUAAAGUCCUACGUGAU
rnacentral:rRNA from 1 species